AUUGAACGCUGGCGGCAGGCCUAACACAUGCAAGUCGAGCGAGCGGCGGACGGGUGACCUAUGUAUGGGCCUCUGCCCGAUAGAUGGGGUCAACUACUGGAAACUGUGGCUAAUACCGCCUACAUUCGCAUGCAUCCAUGUGGGAUUAGCUAGUAGGUGGGGUAAAGGCUCACCUAGGCGACGAUCUCUACCUGGUCUGAGAGGAUGAUCAGCCACACUGGGACUGAGACACGGCCCAGACUCCUACGGGAGGCAGCAGUGGGGAAUAUUGCACAAUGGGCGCAAGCCUGAUGCAGCCAUGCCGCGUGUAUGAAGAAGGCCUUAGGGUUGUAAAGUACUUUCAGCGGGGAGGCGUUACCAGCAGAAGAAGCACCGGCUAACUCCGUGCCAGCAGCCGCGGUAAUAC
rnacentral:rRNA from 1 species